CAGGCGAGGGGCUGGGUGGCGGUUGAGACAGCGGCGGUACUGGGAGGCGUAGGUGAGGGUCGUGAGGCUGCCUGAGCUUCUGAGCAAGCGCGGUGCUUUUGGGAACGCGGGACGGGCGAUCUGCGGCGCCAGGAGCUGGGCCGAGGCGUGGUGGCGCGGCUGCCGGCUGCCCUCUGAAUGGGAAGGUACGCGAAGUCCACCCGCGUUUCUGAGGCAAUCUGAAGGCAAAUCCUGUUUAGACCCAGGCGAAGGUUCCUGGUGACCCAGGCUCUCACCAGCCAAUUGUCCCUUGCCGUCCUCCUGAGGGCGUCUGGAGCUUCAGUGCUGUGUGCUCUUGGCCUCCACACUGGGGAUGCCACUGACUCCCACUGUCCAGGGCUUCCAGUGGACUCUCCGAGGCCCUGAUGUAGAAACUUCCCCAUUGGGUGCACCAAGAGCAGCCUCACAUGGUGUGGGCCGACAUCAAGAGCUGCCAGAUCCAACAGCUCCCAUCAAGGAAGAUCCAGAGACAUUCUCCUCACCAAGGCGUUAAGAAAUGCACAGGUGAGGGGAACAGCGGCAUGCGUGUAAAGGUCCUGUGGCGCCCAUCCUCUGCAUGCUGGAGGUCAUGGCGGGAGAUGCUGCAUGGAUUUGACCUCCCCACUGUCAGUGAGAACAACAGGGUUCUGGAAGAGUAGAGGACAGGCCAUGGGACUUGGCCAUCUAGAGAUAAGGCGGGAGGGAUUUCCUUGAGAGGCAGGGAUAUGUGGUGGUUACUAAUCAUUCGAAUCAUUGUGAGGUGUUUGGGAAUGUAAUGGAUGGGAAAUCUACUAAGAAAUCAACUUAGUAAUAAUUAGAAAAGCUCUAGUUCUGAGGACAGAGACCCGAUCGAGUCACCAUAGUGGGAAUUUAUGACCUGGCAUCCAGUUCAGAUACCUGGAGCUUCUUGAGUGAGGGAAGAUUGGAUCCCUUGAGGAAGAGUGAAGCCUUCAAUGCUGCCACCAGUGUAUGCUGUAAAUCUUCCUCCAGGCCUUCCCCAGAAGGCCCUGAAGCCAUUUAUGUGGGUGACUGAGGAAAGGGAAAUACUCAGAGCUUCUGUGGCUUGUUGGAUUCUGGCUCUGAAGAAUGCUAAACUAAGGGCACCUGUGGUGGCCAUGAAACUGCACUACUUGCAUCUCCAGCUGCAGGAGGCCUAACGAAUCAGCAGCCCCAGCUGCUACCCUCCGAAUGGAGGACUUGAUGACAUUUCCCCUGGAUCUGCACUAGCCCAUGAGGAGGAAAGCCUCCUAUCAAGUCCUCCCAGCAGAACACCCAUGAUGACUCAUGAGGAUGUUGAAGGUGUUUUCCUGUGGCAACUGUGACUUUCUUUCUUCAAAGUCUGUUUUGUUCCUGCACAUUAACUGAUUUAUGUCAAAUAAGAGAAUAAAUGCCUAGACUCCC
rnacentral:sRNA from 1 species